rnacentral:rRNA from 1 species
UACGUAGGUGUCAAGCGUUGUCCGGAUUUAUUGGGCGUAAAGCGCCCGCAGGCGGCUUGCCAAGUUCGAUGUGAAAUCUCCCGGCUCAACUGGGAGGGUGCAUCGAAAACUGGCAGGCUUGAGGCAGGGAGAGGGAUGUGGAAUUCCAGGUGUAGUGGUGAAAUGCGUAGAUAUCAGGAGGAACACCGGUGGCGAAGGCGGCGAUCUGGGAAGAUACUGACGCUGAGGUGCGAAAGCGUGGGGAGCAAACAGG